CACUCCUGCGGGAGGCAGCAGUGGGGAAUUUUGGACAAUGGGCGAAAGCCUGAUCCAGCAAUGCCGCGUGCAGGAUGAAGGCCUUCGGGUUGUAAACUGCUUUUGUACGGAACGAAAAAGCUCCUUCUAAUACAGGGGGCCCAUGACGGUACCGUAAGAAUAAGCACCGGCUAACUACGUGCCAGCAGCCGCGGUAAUACGUAGGGUGCGAGCGUUAAUCGGAAUUACUGGGCGUAAAGCGUGCGCAGGCGGUUAUGUAAGACAGAUGUGAAAUCCCCGGGCUCAACCUGGGAACUGCAUUUGUGACUGCAUGGCUAGAGUACGGUAGAGGGGGAUGGAAUUCCGCGUGUAGCAGUGAAAUGCGUAGAUAUGCGGAGGAACACCGAUGGCGAAGGCAAUCCCCUGGACCUGUACUGACGCUCAUGCACGAAAGCGUGGGGAGCAAACAGGAUUAGAUACCCGUGUAGUCCCAU
rnacentral:rRNA from 1 species